ensembl:lncRNA
GCUUUAUAUCAACAGGUGUUGAUGGAUCACAUAAAAGAGAGACAGAAACAGAUUGAAAGGUGUGUGUGUGUGUGAGCGUGAGAGAGAGAGAAAGAGAAAGACAAGCAGAGAGUGAGAGAGAGAGCUCCCAUCUGCUCAGCAUUAACCACUGUUCUUCACGGGUCAAGGUUUUGCUCUUUUUAAAUGUAUGUUUGUACAGGUCACCCUUAUAUAAGGCUUGUACCCCCACACCAGCUUCGGCUUCCGCUCUUAAUGAGAUCCAAUUGGAGAAGGGCUCCUCUCGUGGCUUUUGAUGGCUGUCACAUGUGGAAGUGAUUGUCGAAUCUCGUGCUGCCGACAGUAAGCGUGAGGACCAGAAAGCCCCGGGCGUGUCUCAGCAGCUCCAGCGUAAGCCAUCCAAGAGAGAGCAGUUUGUAACAGAGGCCUCACAGGGGCAGAGUCAC